rnacentral:lncRNA from 1 species
AUGCCAUCACACUGUAAAAUCAGCAGAAAGCGCGAUUGUAACUCUAACUCUGUCCAUAGACUGUGGUCAGUUUCAACUACUUGGAGAGUCUCCAAAGGCAAACACAGGUUGUGUGAGUCAGAGGAAAAAGAGGCAGACCAGGGUCACGUUCACGCCGUUCCAGGUGCAGGAGCUGGAGGAGGUCUUCCUGCAGACCCACUACCCCGACAUCAACUCCAGAGACCAGUUAGCCUCGCGCCUGCACCUCACCGAGGGCCGAAUACAGAUUUGGUUCCAGAACCGCAGAGCCAAGUGGAGGAAGGCCGAGACGCUGAAGGACAUAGAGCUGAUGAGCAGACAGCACGUCCAGUCGGCCACUCGUCAGACGCUGUAUUAUGACGUAAGAACACAUUGACACGACAUGUUCUCAUUUUUAAUAAUGAUUAAUUUUUAAUUCAUGAAGCACCAGUGAGUCAGUUUAAUGGGCAUGGUUCCAUUUAAUGUUUCGCAAUUUGACUUUGAAUGUACGCAAUCGCCACGGUCUGCGUAUUGUCCACUGUGUGUGAUCUUAAGGAUCUGUUCACGGCAUAACUGGUGUUUUCCUGACAGAAGCCCCAGCUCCUGCAGGCCGUGUGCUGGCUGCCCUGCUGCUUACCCGAGGCCCUGCGGCCGAGGCUGGUGCUCAGAGCGAUAUCGACGCCGUCGGUGCUGAUCGACUCACAUUCCCCACAUCACAGGACUCUGCAUUUUGACCCACCGGGGACUGAAAGAUAGGACGACUCUUAUAUAGAAGAGUCAAAUAUAUGAGACUUCAAUCGUGGUGAUGCACAAAAUAAAGACAUGCUGAAUCUGUCA